GACGAACGCUGGCGGCGUGCUUAACACAUGCAAGUCGAACGGAAAGGCCCUGCUUUUGUGGGGUGCUCGAGUGGCGAACGGGUGAGUAACACGUGAGUAACCUGCCCUUGACUUUGGGAUAACUUCAGGAAACUGGGGCUAAUACCGGAUAGGAGCUCCUGCUGCAUGGUGGGGGUUGGAAAGUUUCGGCGGUUGGGGAUGGACUCGCGGCUUAUCAGCUUGUUGGUGGGGUAGUGGCUUACCAAGCUUUGACGGGGAGGCGGCCUGGGAGGGGUACCGGCCCCAUUGGGACUGAGAUACGGCCCAGAAUCCUACGGGAGGGAGCAGUGGGGAAUAUUGCAAAAUGGGCGGAAGCCUGAUGCAGCAACGCCGCGUGCGGGAUGACGGCCUUCGGGUUGUAAACCGCUUUCGCCUGUGACGAAGCGUGAGUGACGGUAAUGGGUAAAGAAGCACCGGCUAACUACGUG
rnacentral:rRNA from 1 species